GAGUAUGCGAUCUGCCUCUCGGGUGGAUUGUUGUCGGCUAUUCUGAUCAUGGAUAGGAGUUACUGUUGCCACAGGAAUCUGUGUGCAAUAAGGAGGCAACAGGCUCCUGUCGCUGGUUUGACAGGAGGUCUGGCUGCAGUUGGCCUAUUGCUGGGCUGUUCUAAGCCCAUGCAAUUUGCUGGAUUUGGUCCAUAAUUUUGUAGGUGUUGUUGAAGCUGGUCUGGGAUGUUCUUUUUGCUGAUCUGAAUGGACUGUGGCCAUGUAUAUUAUAACGUGAAAACUUGCUAAAUUGAUUUGGCUGAUUUUUUUAAUAAUUAAAACUUGAUUACAAUUUGGAGUUCUUCGGGAACUGCAAUAAUAUUUAUUUCAUCUGACCUACAGAAGAUGAUUCAAUGGUCAACUGGUUGAUGUAAGUUUUGUCUUUCUGCAUGUGUGUCGUAAAUUGGCUUAUAUAGCGUUGUCAAUGGUUAUUCUUCAAGAAGAGAUUAGAAAAUGUGUAGUAGACAUAUAAUAGUUUAUACUUCCUUUUGAAAUUGUCCAGUCUUUAUCAUGCUUAGAUUACUAAGUUGAUUAACAGACUACAAGUGACAUAGAUUUUCUCUCAAAGACUAUGUAACUUGAAGACAGGACUGUCAGACUACAGAUUUGGCUGGCAAUCUUUCUUAACUACUUCAAAGUGGUUUGAAGAAGUUUGAACAGAGUGGGGAACUGAUGUUAUUAUCGUGCUUGUUGAGAACAAAACUGACCUUGUUGACAAAAGGUCUUAACGGAGGAAGGAGAAGCCAAGGCCAAAGAUCUUGGUUCAUGUUCAUUGAAACAAGUGCAGAAGCUGGCUUCGAUGUAAAAGUAUGUUUUUACACUCUGUGAUUCCUAUCUGUGGCUGAUUUUAUUUCUAGACAAACUUGAUAUCCUAGUCACUGCAGAUAUGCAUCCUGCAAUUGCACAUACUGUUGAAUUAAGUUUAGUUUA